ACUCCUACGGGAGGCAGCAGUGGGGAAUAUUGCACAAUGGGGGAAACCCUGAUGCAGCCAUGCCGCGUGUGUGAAGAAGGCCUUCGGGUUGUAAAGCACUUUCAGUCGUGAGGAAGGUAGUGUAGUUAAUAGCUGCAUUAUUUGACGUUAGCGACAGAAGAAGCACCGGCUAACUCCGUGCCAGCAGCCGCGGUAAUACGGAGGGUGCGAGCGUUAAUCGGAAUUACUGGGCGUAAAGCGCAUGCAGGUGGUUUGUUAAGUCAGAUGUGAAAGCCCGGGGCUCAACCUCGGAAUUGCAUUUGAAACUGGCAGACUAGAGUACUGUAGAGGGGGGUAGAAUUUCAGGUGUAGCGGUGAAAUGCGUAGAGAUCUGAAGGAAUACCGGUGGCGAAGGCGGCCCCCUGGACAGAUACUGACACUCAGAUGCG
rnacentral:rRNA from 1 species